rnacentral:rRNA from 1 species
GACGAACGCUGGCGGCGUGCUUAACACAUGCAAGUCGAACGGAAAGGCCCUGCUUUUGUGGGGUGCUCGAGUGGCGAACGCGUGAGUAACACGUGAGUAACCUGCCCUUGACUUUGGGAUAACUUCAGGAAACUGGGGCUAAUAACGGAUAGGAGCUCCUGCUGCAAGGUGGGGGUUGGAAAGUUUCGGCGGUUGUGGAUAGACUCUGGGCUUAUCUGCUUGUUGGUGGGGUUGUGGAUUACCAAGGGUUUGAGGGGUAGCCGGCCUGAGAGGGUGACCGGCCACAUUGGGAGUGAGAUACGGCCCAGAGUCCUACGGGAGGCAGCAGUGGGGAAUAUUGCGCAAUGGGCGGAAGCCAGUGGCAGCAACGCGGCGUGCGGGAUGACGGCCUUCGGGUUGUAAACCGCUUUCGCCUGUGACGAAGCGUGAGUGACGGUAAUGGGUAAAGAAGCACCGGCUAACUACGUG